UUAACAAAAAUCAAUGGUGGUAUUACACCUAUUUAGGGAAACUCUAUGUGCACUCGUGAGUCGUGACCUUAUUGUACUUUCAUUUUUAAAAGUUAUUAAUAAACCAGUUCAUACAUUGUAAACAUGGACUUUUCGGAAUGGAUUUAGACACUGAGAGCACGUUUGAGUGUUAACCAUGUUCUGAAGAGCAUUCUGUUGAAAAAUCUUACAUGUGAAUUGGUCGGCAGAUGACACUUCAGAAUUAAAACAAAAGAUAUCAAGUUUUGAUGAAAAAGGAAGGAAGGAGGAAAAAUGGACCAAAACAUACCAAAACAGACCUUCAAAUGAACUCUAAAAGGUGCAAUAAAAUUGUUUAUCAUCUUAAAGUUGUCUUUUGUAUUCUAUUUAAUUGUUUGAAUGCAUAUAUCCUGAGUUUAUGAUCAGGUAUUAGUCAACACUGCAUUUUAUUAUGAUACAUUGAAAUUAGGAUUUUUCGAAGAAAUUAGACUGAAAUUGCCGUAGGAUAUGGCCUUACAUUAUAGUGAUUUUCUCUGAAACUAUAGCUCUGACUGAGACAAAACUUGACAGUUAUGCUUGAAAUAACUUGCAAUU